rnacentral:lncRNA from 1 species
UGUCAUUAACAUACAUUAAUUGUCCAUCAAUAAAAUUUAUCCAAACAGAACCUAAGGGGUUAGGAUUACCUCAAAGUGUGACGGGUUAAGCUUCCUAAACUCCGUUAUAUUGUGAGAAAUAGACAUUUCGUUUGUUCGAUAUUCUGGGACCUGGUGCUGAUAAAGGUUUAUUUGGUUCUGUCCUACGACUGCGGUCAAUCCUUAGAUAGUUCGAAAAAGUUCAAUAAACUCGGCCCUAGUUGGAUGAUCUUGGGCCUCUGAUCUUUCACUACGUUCUAUGAAAGGUCUCUGUCGCAUCAUUCCUAUAAAAGAAAGGAAGAGAUGAGUUAGUGAUCUAGUUUAGAAAAGACAACUUAUUUUCUUAAAUAAGGGACUUUCUACUUACAGUCUUAGUUGUAAGGGAUUUGGUCUGCAUAACUGCUCUGAUACCAUUUAUGACAUCCUCAAUGCAAAUUAACGCAUAAGGGUGCUAGAUACAAAAAUAGAUUGCGAGUGCAUGAUAAAAUUUUAUACAAUGAAGUAAAUUAUUACAAAUCCCUUACUAAAAUAUAUGAGUUUCAAUUACACAUAUAUAUAACUAAGGCCAGAAGUGAUAACAAAAUAC